UAGCUGGGUGUCGGCGAUGCCUUUGGCAUGCCGAUAGCCCAUAUUAUGGCGGCUGGCAUGGGCGGCAUUCGGACCACCGGAGAUCUGGUGGCCUGGAUGC
rfam:Environmental sequence GutlessWorm_Cont1188, whole genome shotgun sequence.